AGCCGUUGGUACAAGGAGCUCUGCUCCUUGACACUGAACUAGUUAGAGCACAACCCUUGACUACAGGCCCCUGCGCCUCAGUGCUGGCUCAGUGCCUUUUCAAUGUUGUCUCUAACCAUGUCACAUCCAGAAAGCAGGUUUGACGAGAGACGCUGCGAGGGGGCUUGAUCACGUGACUUUUCUAAAGCGAUGAAGUGAGAAUCCAAGGCUGCGUCCACACUCACAUAGCUAGCCAUGUUCUGCAGGGAGAGAAUUCAUCACCCUCAGGAAGUUGGAUAGAGUUUUGAUCCUGUAUCAUCGUAGUCAUUGUCGUCAUUGACAUCAUCAUCAUCACAGAUGCCAAACGAGUCCAUGGUAGAGAAGGUACUGGAACCCUGCCAGGAUCUUUAGGGUCCUGGUUGAUUUGACAAUUUAUGAUGUUCACUCCAUCGUAUCCUAGAAACUCAGCGGUUUGUUUGUUUUUUUAACCCAAGUCCUUCUGAGUGUGGAACUUACUUUCGUCCAAAAGCAUGAACUUGACACUUGGAUCCACAAGGAAAAACCAGGCCCGCCAGGCAGGAAGGUCCACUCCCUCUCUGAUGGAGAGGCUCGUCCUGGAGCAGAUGACCUUGGAGAUUGCAUUAGAAUAAAAACAAAGAACACUUCCUGA